ACUCACAUAGCUCAGCCAGUUGAGCAUGAGACUCUUAAUCUCAGGGUUGUGGGUUCGAGCCUCGCUUUGGGCA
rnacentral:tRNA from 1 species